GCCUACGGCCAUGCCACCCUGGCAGCGCCCGAUCUCGUCUGAUCUCGGAAGCUAAGCAGGGUCGGGCCCGGUUAGUACUUGGAUGGGAGACCUCCUGGGAAUACCGGGUGCUGUAGGCUUGC
rnacentral:rRNA from 1 species